GACGAACGCUGGCGGCGUGCCUAAUACAUGCAAGUCGAGCGGGACUCUUCGGAGUCCAGCGGCGGACGGGUGAGUAACACGUGGGCAACCUGCCUGUAAGACUGGGAUAACACCGGGAAACCGGUGCUAAUACCGGAUAAUCCUUUCUCUCACAUGCGGGGGAGCUGAAAGACGGUUUAGGCUGUCGCUUACAGAGGGGCCCGCGGCGCAUUAGCUAGUUGGUGAGGUAACGGCGCACCAAGGCGACGGUGCGUAGCCGACCUGGGAGGGUGAUCGGCCACACUGGGACUGAGACACGGCCCAGACUCCUACGGGAGGCAGCAGUAGGGAAUCUUCCGCAAUGGACGAAAGUCUGACGGAGCAACGCCGCGUGAGCGAUGAAGGCCUUCGGGUCGUAAAGCUCUGUUGUCAGGGAAGAACAAGUAUCGGAGUAACUGCCGGUACCUUGACGGUACCUGACCAGAAAGCCACGGCUAACUACGUGCCAGCAGCCGCCGUAAUAC
rnacentral:rRNA from 1 species